rnacentral:rRNA from 1 species
GGUUCGAUCAUGGCUCGGAUUGAACGCUGGCGGGAUGCUUUACAUGCGAGUCGAACGGCAGCACGGACUUCGGUCUGGUGGCAGUGGCGAACGGGUGAGUAAUGUAUCCGGAACGUGCCUAGUAGCGGGGGAUAACUACGCGAAAGCGUAGCUAAUACCACAUACGCCCUUCGGAAAAGCGGGGGACCUUCGGGCCUCGCACUAUUAAAGAGCGGCCGAUAUCGGAUUAGCUAGUUGGUGGGGUAACGGCUCACCAAGGCGACGAUCCGUAGCUGGUUUCAGGACGACCAGCCACACUGGGACUGAGACACGGCCCAGACUCCUGCAGGGAACGGCAGUGAAAUUUUGGACAAUGGAAACCCUGAUCCAGCCAUCCGCGUGUGCGAUGAAGGCCUUCGGGUUGUAGAAGCACUUUUUGGCAGGAAAAGAAACGGCACGGGAUAAUACCCCGUGCAACUGACGGUACCGCAGAAUAAGCACUGACUAACUACGUGCCAGCAGCCGCGGUAAUACGUAGGGUGCAAGCGUUAAUCCGGAAUUACUGGGCGUAAAGCGUGCGCAGGCGGUUCGGAAGAAGAUGUGAAAUCCCAGAGCAACUUUGGAACUGCAUUUUUAACUACCGAGCUAGGUGUGUCAGAGGAGGUGGAAUUCCGCGUGUAGCAGUGAAAUGCGUAGAUAUGCGGAGGAACACCGAUGGCGAAGGCAGCCUCCUGGGAUAACACUGACGCUCAUGCGAAAGCGUGGGAGCAAACAGGAUUAGAUACCCUGGUAGUCCACGCCCUAAACGAUGUCAACUAGCUGUUGGGGCCUUCGGGCCUCAGUAGCGCAGCUAACGCGUGAAGUUGACCGCCUGGGGAGUACGGUCGCAAAGAUUAAAACUCAAAGGAAUUGACGGGGUUCACACAAGCGGUGGAUGAUGUGGAUUAAUUCGAUGCAACGCGAAAAACCUUACCUACCCUUGACAUGUCUGGAAUCCCGAAGAGAUUUGGGAGUGCUCGCAAGAGAACCGGAACACAGGUGCUGCAUGGCUGUCGUCAGCUCGUGUCGUGAAGAUGUUGGGUUAAGUCCCGCAACGAGCGCAACCCUUGUCAUUAGUUGCUACGAAAGGGCACUCUAAUGAGACUGCCGGUGACAAACCGGAGGAAGGUGGGGAUGACGUCAAGUCCUCAUGGCCCUUAUGGGUAGGGCUUCACACGUCAUACAAUGGUCGGGACAGAGGGUCGCCAACCCGCGAGGGGAGCCAAUCCCGAAACCCGAUCGUAGUCCGGAUCGCAGUCUGCAACUCGACUGCGUGAAGUCAGAAUCGCUAAUAAUCGCGGAUCAGCAUGUCGCGGACCGAAUACGUUCCCGGAGUCAUACACACCGCCCGUCGCACCAUGGGAGUAGGUUUUACCGAAGUAGUUAGCCUAACCGUAAGGAGGGCGAUUACCUACACGGUAGGAUUCAUGACUGGGGUGAAGUCGUAACAAGGU